rnacentral:rRNA from 1 species
UUUUUUGUUUUUCUCUCUCCCCCAAAAACUACAGACCAUAAGCGGAUCGGAGCAYGAAACCAACAGGGAUUGCUCUAGUAACGGCGAGUGAAGCAGCAAUAGCUCAAAUUUGAAAUCUGGCGUCUUCGGCGUCCGAGUUGUAAUUUGUAGAGGAUGCUUCUGAGUAGCCACCGACCUAAGUUCCUUGGAACAGGACGUCAUAGAGGGUGAGAAUCCCGUAUGCGGUCGGAAAGGCGCUCUACACGUAGCUCCUUCGACGAGUCGAGUUGUUUGGGAAUGCAGCUCUAAAUGGGAGGUAAAUUUCUUCUAAAGCUAAAUAUUGGCCAGAGACCGAUAGCGCACAAGUAGAGUGAUCGAAAGAUGAAAAGCACUUUGGAAAGAGAGUUAAAAAGCACGUGAAAUUGUUAAAAGGGAAGGGAUUGCAACCAGACUUGCUCGCGGUGUUCCGCCGGUCUUCUGACCGGUCUACUCGCCGCGUUGCAGGCCAGCAUCGUCUGGUGCCGCUGGAUAAGACUUUGGGAAUGUAGCUCCUUCGGGAGUGUUAUAGCCCAUUGUGAUGCAGCGAGCGCCGGGCGAGGUCCGCGCUUCGGCUAGGAUGCUGGCGUAAUGGUCGUAAUCCGCCCGUCUUGAAACACGGACCAAGGAGUCUAACAUCUAUGCGAGUGUUCGGGUGUCAAACCCCUACGCGUAAUGAAAGUGAACGGAGGUGAGAACCGCAAGGUGCAUCAUCGACCGAUCCUGAUGUCUUCGGAUGGAUUUGAGUAAGAGCAUAGCUGUUGGGACCCGAAAGAUGGUGAACUAUGCCUGAAUAGGGUGAAGCCAGAGGAAACUCUGGUGGAGGCUCGCAGCGGUUCUGACGUGCAAAUCGAUCGUCCAAAUUUGGGUAUAGGGGCGAAAGACUAAUCGAACCCAUCUWGUASCYGGUUCCUGCGAUUCUCUCUCAGCAGAGAGAACACACAC